GACGAACGCUGGCGGCGUGCUUAACACAUGCAAGUCGAACGGUGAAGCGCCUUCCUUUUUGGUGGGUGUGGAUGAGUGGCGAACGGGUGAGUAACACGUGAGUAACCUGCCCCCUUCUUCUGGAUAACCGCAUGAAAGUGUGGCUAAUACGGGAUAUUCUGGGUCUGUCGCAUGAUGGGUCUGGGAAAGAUAUUGUUUCGGUGGGGGAUGGGCUCGCGGCCUAUCAGCUUGUUGGUGGGGUGAUGGCCUACCAAGGCGGUGACGGGUAGCCGGCCUGAGAGGGUGGACGGUCACACUGGGACUGAGACACGGCCCAGACUCCUAAGGGAGGCAGCAGUGGGGAAUAUUGCACAAUGGGCGCAAGCCUGAUGCAGCGACGCCGCGUGAGGGAUGGAGGCCUUCGGGUUGUGAACCUCUUUCGACAGUGAAGCAGGCCUGCCUCGUUUGUGGGUGGGUUGACGGUAGCUGGAUAAGAAGCGCCGGCUAACUACGUG
rnacentral:rRNA from 1 species